GAAAAUAUGUAGCCUGUGUGUUCGCCAAGGAGAAGAGCCCAUGGCAAAGUAUUUGUGCUCCUUCUUGGUCCAUGAGUGUGUGUGUGUGUGUGUGUUUGAGUUUCUUCCAUGUGUGUGUGUUCUUGUGUUCUUGAGAGAAGAAGAUAAAGAGAAACCACAAGAGAGUUGUGUGAGGCAACGAGAGGAAGAAGAAGAGCGGCGCUGCGAGGAGAGGCGGCGCUAACACCCUCUGCCCUAACCCGGCCGGACAUCCUCGUGAUCGUUUGAUCUCCAUAGAGGAUUGUUCAAGAGGACUCUCAACUCGACAGCAUUAGUUGGGUGGCAAAGCAUGGGAUAUGAUGCUCCCACUGUACUGCAACUAAAUCAAGUGUGAAUAGUCUUUCAUUGACAAGGAAUUAGCUGGGUUAGGUAUAACGGAAAUCAUUGAUAAGGAAAAGCAUCAAAGCAAAUCAAAGUUCUUCAUAAGAUGUCAUCACACCCGUUUACUGUUGGUCCGUUUCAAAACAGUCAUGCUCACGCAACACAUCAUAUUCCAUUAACUUGCUCACUCCAGCGACUUGCUUCAUAUCCUUCUAGGAAAUUUUCUUCUGCUUCACUAGUGGUUCGAUUUUCUACAGAAAAAGUCAUCCACUAUUACUAGUUUUCCUGUACAUGUCUCCAUUUAUCAAUUGUUCUUGUCUGGGUAUCUUUGCUAUGACAAGCUGAUCUAGAAAAUGGAGUUGAGACUGAACUCAGCUUAGUCGAUUCCGGUUUCACGCAUUAGUCUUGAUGCCAUGCACUUGGACCACUAUCUCUGAUCUUACUUUUUUCAACCUGCAAGGCAGGAGCUCUACCGAUUUCAUUAUCAAAAAAGAAUUUCCACCUUGUUUGUAUUACAAAGCAACCAACACGGAUCAUAUAGCAAUUGUUGGGGCGAGUAGCACAAAGAGCCCAAAACAAAAGAGAAAGAACAAAGAACAAAGAAACAAAU